UGACCGAUUUUCAGAGCAAAA
rnacentral:piRNA from 1 species